rnacentral:rRNA from 1 species
CCUACGGGUGGCAGCAGUGGGGAAUAUUGCACAAUGGGGGAAACCCUGAUGCAGCGACGCCGCGUGAGUGAAGAAGUAUUUCGGUACGUAAAGCUCUAUCAGCAGGGAAGAUAAUCCCGCCUUCUGGCCGCCAGACGGUACCUGACUACGAACCCGCGGCUAACUACGUGCCAGCAGCCGCGGUAAUACGUAGGGGGCAUGCGUUAUCCGGAUGUACUGGGUGUAAAGGGGGUGGAGACGGGGAUGCAAGCCCGGAGUGAAAGCCCGGGGCCUAACCCCGGAACUGCUCUUGGAACUGCGUGGCUGGAGUGCAGGAGGGGCAGGCGGAAUUCCUGGUGUAGCGGUGAAAUGCGUAGAGAUCAGGAGGAAUACCGGUGGCGAAGGCGGCCUGCUGGACUGCAACUGACGUUGAGGCGCGAAAGCGUGGGGAGCAAACAGGAUUAGAUACCCUUGUAGUC